rnacentral:rRNA from 1 species
UAGGGAAUCUUCGGCAAUGGACGAAAGUCUGACCGAGCAACGCCGCGUGAGUGAAGAAGGUUUUCGGAUCGUAAAACUCUGUUGGUAGAGAAGAACGUUGGUGAGAGUGGAAAGCUCAUCAAGUGACGGUAACUACCCAGAAAGGGACGGCUAACUACGUGCCAGCAGCCGCGGUAAUACGUAGGUCCCGAGCGUUGUCCGGAUUUAUUGGGCGUAAAGCGAGCGCAGGUGGUUUAUUAAGUCUGGUGUAAAAGGCAGUGGCUCAACCAUUGUAUGCAUUGGAAACUGGUAGACUUGAGUGCAGGAGAGGAGAGUGGAAUUCCAUGUGUAGCGGUGAAAUGCGUAGAUAUAUGGAGGAACACCGGUGGCGAAAGCGGCUCUCUGGCCUGUAACUGACACUGAGGCUCGAAAGCGUGGGGAGCAAAC